AUUGAACGCUGGCGGCAGGCCUAACACAUGCAAGUCGAACGGAGUGGCGAACGGGUGAGUAACACGUGGGUGACCUGCCCUGCACUUCGGGAUAAGCCUGGGAAACUGGGUCUAAUACCGGAUAGUGUGGGAUGGGCCGGCGGCCUAUCAGCUUGUUGGUGGGGUAAUGGCCUACCAAUGUGGCGACGGGUAGCCGGCCUGGGAGGGUGGACGGCCACAUUGGGACUGAGACACGGCCCAGACUCCUACGGGAGGCAGCAGUGGGGACUAUUGCACAAUGGGCGGAGACCUGAUGCAGCGACGCCGCGGGGGGGAUGACGGCGUUCUGGUUGUAAACUCCUUUCACCAUCGACGCGGUAGAUGGAGAAGAAGCACCGGCUAACUACGUGCCAGCCGCCGCGGUAAUUC
rnacentral:rRNA from 1 species